rnacentral:lncRNA from 1 species
UUCAAGCCACAGACACGAAAAUAAUCCAAUUUUCCCAAGAAAUAAGCAAUGAACGUAAUGAUCAAUCUUGAAUUUCAGUAAACAAACAAAUGUCCCAUCAAACAAGUUUCAUUUUUUUCCCUACUACAAAACUACAGAAUCCCAUUAAUAAAAAGUCCUCAAAUCAAACAUUCAAUCAAAUAGCCUUUUCCUCAAUCCCCAGACACCCCCGGAA